rnacentral:rRNA from 2 species
UACGAAGGGUGCAAACGUUGCUCGGAAUUAUUGGGCGUAAAGCGCACGUAGGCGGCAUUGCAAGUCGGAUGUGAAAUCUUAUGGCUUAACCAUAAAAGUGCAUCCGAAACUGCAGUGCUUGAGUACUUAAGAGGAUCGCGGAAUUCCCGGUGUAGAGGUGAAAUUCGUAGAUAUCGGGAGGAACACCAGUGGCGAAGGCGGCGAUCUGGGAAGAUACUGACGCUGAGGUGCGAAAGCGUGGGGAGCAAACAGG